UGGGGAAUAUUGGACAAUGGGCGAAAGCCUGAUCCAGCCAUGCCGCGUGUGUGAAGAAGGUCUUCGGAUUGUAAAGCACUUUAAGUUGGGAGGAAGGGCAUUAACCUAAUACGUUAGGUUUGACGUACCGACAUAAUGAGCGGAAAGACC
rnacentral:rRNA from 1 species